rnacentral:rRNA from 1 species
UUAAGUUAGAAAGGGCGCACGGUGGAUGCCUUGGCACUAGGAGCCGAUGAAGGACGGGACGAACACCGAUAUGCUUCGGGGAGCUGUAAGCAAGCUUUGAUCCGGAGAUUUCCGAAUGGGGAAACCCACCACUCGUAAUGGAGUGGUAUCCAUAUCUGAAUUCAUAGGAUAUGAGAAGGCAGACCCGGGGAACUGAAACAUCUAAGUACCCGGAGGAAGAGAAAGCAAAUGCGAUUCCCUGAGUAGCGGCGAGCGAAACGGGAUUAGCCCAAACCAAGAGGCUUGCCUCUUGGGGUUGUAGGACACUCUGUACGGAGUUACAAAGGAACGAGGUAGAUGAAGAGGUCUGGAAAGGCCCGCCAUAGGAGGUAACAGCCCUGUAGUCAAAACUUCGUUCUCUCCUGAGUGGAUCCUGAGUACGGCGGAACACGUGAAAUUCCGUCGGAAUCCGGGAGGACCAUCUCCCAAGGCUAAAUACUCCCUAGUGACCGAUAGUGAACCAGUACCGUGAGGGAAAGGUGAAAAGCACCCCGGAAGGGGAGUGAAAGAGAUCCUGAAACCGUGUGCCUACAAGUAGUCAGAGCCCGUUAACGGGUGAUGGCGUGCCUUUUGUAGAAUGAACCGGCGAGUUACGAUCUCGUGCAAGGUUAAGCAGAAGAUGCGGAGCCGCAGCGAAAGCGAGUCUGAAUAGGGCGCAUGAGUACGUGGUCGUAGACCCGAAACCAGGUGAUCUACCCAUGUCCAGGGUGAAGUUCAGGUAACACUGAAUGGAGGCCCGAACCCACGCACGUUGAAAAGUGCGGGGAUGAGGUGUGGGUAGGGGUGAAAUGCCAAUCGAACCUGGAGAUAGCUGGUUCUCUCCGAAAUAGCUUUAGGGCUAGCCUCAAGGUAAGAGUCUUGGAGGUAGAGCACUGAUUGGACUAGGGGCCCCUACCGGGUUACCGAAUUCAGUCAAACUCCGAAUGCCAAUGACUUAUCCUUGGGAGUCAGACUGCGAGUGAUAAGAUCCGUAGUCGAAAGGGAAACAGCCCAGACCGCCAGCUAAGGUCCCAAAGUAUACGUUAAGUGGAAAAGGAUGUGGAGUUGCUUAGACAACCAGGAUGUUGGCUUAGAAGCAGCCACCAUUUAAAGAGUGCGUAAUAGCUCACUGGUCGNGUNACUCUGGUGAGAAAAUGUACCGGGGCUAAACGUAUCACCGAAGCUGCGGACUGUUCUUCGAACAGUGGUAGGAGAGCGUUCUAAGGGCUGUGAAGCCAGACCGGAAGGACUGGUGGAGCGCUUAGAAGUGAGAAUGCCGGUAUGAGUAGCGAAAGAGGGGUGAGAAUCCCCUCCACCGAAUGCCUAAGGUUUCCUGAGGAAGGCUCGUCCGCUCAGGGUUAGUCGGGACCUAAGCCGAGGCCGAAAGGCGUAGGCGAUGGACAACAGGUUGAUAUUCCUGUACCACCUCCUCACCAUUUGAGCAAUGGGGGGACGCAGGAGGAUAGGGUAAGCGCGGUAUUGGAUAUCCGCGUCCAAGCAGUUAGGCUGGGAAAUAGGCAAAUCCGUUUCCCAUAAGGCUGAGCUGUGAUGGCGAGCGAAAUAUAGUAGCGAAGUUCCUGAUUCCACACUGCCAAGAAAAGCCUCUAGCGAGGUGAGAGGUGCCCGUACCGCAAACCGACACAGGUAGGCGAGGAGAGAAUCCUAAGGUGAUCGAGAGAACUCUCGUUAAGGAACUCGGCAAAAUGACCCCGUAACUUCGGGAGAAGGGGUGCUCUGUUAGGGNGCUGNCUCUNAUACACAUCUNACGCGGCNGACGCCUGCCCGGUGCUGGAAGGUUAAGAGGAGCGCUUAGCGUAAGCGAAGGUGCGAAUUGAAGCCCCAGUAAACGGCGGCCGUAACUAUAACGGUCCUAAGGUAGCGAAAUUCCUUGUCGGGUAAGUUCCGACCCGCACGAAAGGCGCAACGAUCUGGGCACUGUCUCAACGAGAGACUCGGUGAAAUUAUAGUACCUGUGAAGAUGCAGGUUACCCGCGACAGGACGGAAAGACCCCGUGGAGCUUUACUGCAGCCUGAUAUUGAAUGUUGGUACAGCUUGUACAGGAUAGGUANUANCUNUNNNACNNCNCNGANNCUANCGACGNAAGNNNCGGUGGGAUACUACCCUGGCUGUAUUGACCUUCUAACCCGCCGCCCUUAUCGGGCGGGGAGACAGUGUCAGGUGGGCAGUUUGACUGGGGCGGUCGCCUCCUAAAAGGUAACGGAGGCGCCCAAAGGUUCCCUCAGAAUGGUUGGAAAUCAUUCGCAGAGUGUAAAGGCACAAGGGAGCUUGACUGCGAGACCUACAAGUCGAGCAGGGACGAAAGUCGGGCUUAGUGAUCCGGUGGUUCCGCAUGGAAGGGCCAUCGCUCAACGGAUAAAAGCUACCCCGGGGAUAACAGGCUUAUCUCCCCCAAGAGUCCACAUCGACGGGGAGGUUUGGCACCUCGAUGUCGGCUCAUCGCAUCCUGGGGCUGUAGUCGGUCCCAAGGGUUGGGCUGUUCGCCCAUUAAAGCGGUACGCGAGCUGGGUUCAGAACGUCGUGAGACAGUUCGGUCCCUAUCCGUCGCGGGCGCAGGAAAUUUGAGAGGAGCUGUCCUUAGUACGAGAGGACCGGGAUGGACGCACCGCUGGUGUACCAGUUGUUCUGCCAAGGGCAUCGCUGGGUAGCUAUGUGCGGACGGGAUAAGUGCUGAAAGCAUCUAAGCAUGAAGCCCCCCUCAAGAUGAGAUUUCCCAUUCCGCAAGGAAGUAAGAUCCCUGAAAGAUGAUCAGGUUGAUAGGUCUGAGGUGGAAGUGUGGCGACACAUGGAGCUGACAGAUACUAAUCGAUCGAGGACUUAACC